AGGGCUGUAGCUCAGUAGCAGAGCAUCUCCUCAGCACACAGAAGGUCCCGGGUUCAAAUCCCAGCACCUCCA